AGUCAUCCCUUCAAGAAAGGGGCUCCUCCCCUUGUAAUUCUAUUGGGUUUUGCAUCCAGACUGAGCUUCCUUCCCUCACCCACAUGAAGUGUCUACCUUCUGCAGACUCCAGUGGCUCAGGAACCGGGGAUGCAGUGCCAGGCUCGUGGUGUCCUGCAGCAGAUGUGGGGAGCUUUCCUUCUUUAUGUUUCCAUGAAGAUGGGAGGUACUACAGGACAAAACAUUGACCAGCCCACUGAGAUGACAGCUAUGGAAGGAGCCAUUGUCCAGAUCAACUGCACGUACCAGACAUCUGGGUUCAAUGGGCUGUCCUGGUACCAGCAACAUGAUGGCGAAGCACCCAUACUUCUCUCUUACAAUGUUCUGGAUGGUUUGGAGCAGAAAGAUCGUUUUUCUUCAUUCCUUAGUAACUCGAAAAGGUACAGUUACCUCCUUUUGAAGGAGCUCCAGAUGAAAGACUCUGCCUCUUACCUUUGUGCUGUGAGAGACACGGUGACUAUGAGGUCUCUUCAGCUGCAACAAAAUUCGAAAGGCAACCACAGCAGCAAGAAGUUAUACUUCCUGAGUGUAUGCCUGCUGUGAGUUAAGACUGGGGACUUUGGAACCAGACUGCCUGGAUUUGAGUUUGCUACUUUCUAGUUGGGUUGUCUUAAGUCAGUCACUAAUUUUUUUUUUGUUUUGGUUUAUUUCCUUAUCUAUAAAGUGAGAAUAAUAAGAGUAUUUACCUCACAAGGCUGUUGUGAGUUAUGACUCUCUCUCUAUAUCAUCUAUAUCUAUAGUUAUAUCUAGUGUUACUCAGAGAAGUAGUGGCACACAGUAAGGUCUAUUUAAGUUUAGUUAUUUCAAUUCCAGUCUUGAAUUUUCACUAAGUAUUAUGUGGUAGGAUCCCUGGGACUGGAACUCAGUAUUUCUCUACCCUUGGUUUGUGGAAAGUGAAAUCCUGACCACUAUUUGUAUCUUGUGGGUCUAAAGCUAUUAGGUGGAGUUUGUCGUUCGGGUGGAUUGUUGCUCUGGAAGGAUCCCUGUGGUGAUACUCAUUUUCUUUGCGGGAACUCUGAACUUUGGAAAUCCAAAUGCAAAUGCUUCAGCGUGAGAUGUUAAGUAUUCUGAUUAAUUAUGAAAGGCUCUCUUCAUUAUGUGCAUCCUUGAUAAAUAAAUAUAAUCAACAUAUUUCGGAGGUUUAUAACUCAGGCUAGAAGUGAAGUUUAGGGGCUUUAGACGUGGGGAGCAUGAACAUAAUCAGGGCAGUCUGUAGAAGAUGGGAAAGAAGAGUGAACAUAAGCAAUUUGGUAGCAAACUGGGUGAGGCAGGAGAGCCAGUAGGAGAUUCCCAUGAAAAGAUGUAGUCGGUAGGCAUUAAGUACAAUAGAAAUUUACAGUAAAUGUGAAGAUUUUCCUUUCCUGCUUUAUAAUUCCCUUAUGUUCUCUUCAGAUCUUUUAAUGAAGUCUGUUAAAUGCUACAACUUGCUGUCAGCUAGGUUCAGAGAGUACAUCAGUGUGUGUGGCUACCUCCACAUGAGAUAAAGCUGAUCAGAGAGCGGAAGCUCAGAUUGCAGGUUAUUGGGACAUCAAA